rnacentral:rRNA from 1 species
GACGAACGCUGGCGGCGUGCUUAACACAUGCAAGUCGAACGGGUCUGCCCUGUUUUUUGCGGGGUGGGUCAGUGGCGAACGGGUGAGUAACACGUGAGUAACCUGCCCCUCACUUCUGGAUAACCGCUUGAAAGGGUGGCUAAUACGGGGUGUUCUGGCUGUGCCGCAUGGUGUGGCUGGGAAAGAUUCACUUUUGUGGUGUUUUGGUGGGGGAUGGGCUCGCGGCCUAUCAGCUUGUUGGUGGGGUGAUGGCCUGCCAAGGCUUUGACGGGUAGCCGGCCUGAGAGGGUGGGCGGUCACACUGGGACUGAGAUACGGCCCAGACUCCUGCGGGAGGCAGCAGUGGGGGGUCUUGCGCCAUGGGCGGCCGCCUGCUGCCGCGACGUCGCGUGAGGGAUGGAGGCCUUCGGGUUGUGAACCUCUUUCGCCGGUGAAGAAGGUCCUGCUCUUUGUGGUGGGGUUGACGGUAGCCGGGUUAUGAAGCGCCGGCUCACUACGUG